rnacentral:lncRNA from 1 species
UUCGAUACCACCACAUUACAAUCUGGUGCCUCUAUCGCAUCAUCUGGUACCACCACAGUACAAUCUGGUGCCUCUACUGUAUUAUCCAAAACCACCACAAAGCCACCCAGUCCCUCUCUAAUAAAAUCCAGUUCCUCUUCCACGGGACCCAGUUCUACCACGAUGGACCUAGGCUACAUUGAAAGGUAUAAAAGACUAAACCCAUCUACUUUUGCAGGGGCAUCCUCUUUUGAAGAGGUUAAAUACUAGUUAACUGAGACAGAAAAGGCUUUCGCGACUCUUGGAGUGGUUUCUAAAUAGAAAAUUGUACUUGCCACCUAAAUGCUUGUGGGAGAG